GAGCGAGUGCGUCCCCACCAGCCUGGCCGCCGCGGGAACUCGGGGACCGGGAGGGCGGGGGUUAGCGGGAGGAAAGGCCCUUCCCCCAUACCCGGUUUUCUGCAAGAAGCGGGCUCCAGAGCUCAGAGCCCGAAGUGUGUGCUCUGGUCUUUGAUGAUGUUGAUAAAAUGUGGUUUCAAAUGUUGUCCCGAAGAGGCCGGUUUCCUGUCUGUAUGUGGAAUGGAAGGACCGUGCCGGGGCACCAAGAGGCACCCUGAGAACUCAGAGGACCCAGAGGCUCCCCUCAAGCAAAUUCCCUGCUGACCCUGGACACCCCUUGAAGGAGGGGGCAAGAGGCUGCCACAAGGCUCAUCUUAUAACUCCCAGCAAGGACUCCCAGCAAACAAGUUCAGCUUGGGAUCUGCCCACCACCAAGCCUGGCUGGGAGGUGGGGGGGAGCGAGGGGCGGUGGAGAGGCAGAGUCCCUGAACAGGGAAAAGACAAUCAGUUGUUCCCCUUUCUGGUGUCAGAGGCAAAGAAGCCUGAAGGGCUGGUGGUGGUGCUGGCUCUGGGUUUAUUGACUCUGUGAUCCUGUCCAGCUGUCCUACAGGGAGUUCCAGAGCUCUCCCAAAGUGCAUGAGGAACUGCACAAGUAGGACUGGGGCACAAUACCAGAAGCUAUUUGUCUCCUAGAACCUGGCACCCCCUCCACUUACCUUACAGGAGACCCACAUCACUCAGUUCCCAGGACACCUGGUGGGAGAGUCUGGUGAGAUUUGGAGGCAGACUUCCUCUACUCACAACUUGUUUGAAAAUGGACAUAAAGAGAAGAACAGACACUCCAUCGCCCCUUCAGGGCCUCCUUUGUGUCACAAAACCUAUCCCCUCCUAGGGCACCCUUGACAUUCCCCUAGGUGGGCCUACACAUUGUUCAGAACCUGUCCCCUGUACCAAAA
rnacentral:lncRNA from 10 species